GAUCAACGCUGGCGGCGUGGAUAACACAUGCAAGUCGAACGAUGAAACUUAGAUGAUUUCUUCGGAAUGAACUUAAGUGGAUUAGUGGCGAACGGGUGAGUAACACGUGAGUAACCUGCCUUACACAAGGGGAUAGCCUCUGGAAACGGAGAAUAAUACCCUAUAAAGUCUAAUCAGCUCCUGCUGGAAAGACCAAAGAUUUAUCGGUGUAAGAUGGACUUGCGUCUGAUUAGCUAGUUGGUGAGAUAAAAGCUCACCAAGGCGACGAUCAGUAGCCGGCUUGAGAGAGUGUACGGCCACAUUGGGACUGAGACACGGCCCAAACUCCUACGGGAGGCAGCAGUGGGGAAUUUUGCACAAUGGGGGAAACCCUGAUGCAGCGACGCCGCGUGAUUUAGAAGGCCUUCGGGUUGUAAAAAUCUUUUUUACGGGAUGAAAAUGACAGUACCGGAAGAAUAAGGUCCGGCUAAAUACGUG
rnacentral:rRNA from 1 species